UAGACUCCAGACUCCAGAUUCAGGUAU
rnacentral:sRNA from 1 species